GUAAGUGGAUUAUUGAAAUAAAAAUAAAAAACAUGGCGGUUUUCUAUCAUAUUAGAGGUACAUGUGUUGUAAACGAAUUUGCACGAAGAAUUGUUCUUCUUUUUGAAAUCAUUUUACAUACCGCUGUCUGAAAGAUUUUUCUAGAGAAAAUAUUUUAAAUCAUGAAAUAAGGCAAGUAAAGGUGUAGACUAUGAAGAAGAAAACAUGUGUUCCAUUGGGAUUUAUGAAGGAAGGAAAUUUAUGAAAAAGAAUUUAAUAGUNAAAUUGGUUNAUUAUAUCANUUNGAAUNGGAANUGGAAAGUGUNC
rnacentral:rRNA from 1 species